rnacentral:rRNA from 1 species
UACGACUACAUAUCAGGCAUAUCAAUAAGCGGAGGAAAAGAAACUAACAAGGAUUCCCUUAGUAACGGCGAGUGAAGCGGGAAGAGCUCAAAUUUGAAAUCUUCAAGGUUCUACCUUGACGAAUUGUAGUUUAAAGAAGUGUUUUCUGUUAGAUGAGUAGCAAAAGUUCCUUGGAAUGGGAUAUCAUAGAGGGUGAGAAUCCUGUAUUUGGUUAUUCAUUCUAGCUUUGUGAUACACUUUCAAAGAGUCGGAUUGUUUGGGAAUGCAGUCCAAAAUGGGUGGUAAAUUUCAUCUAAAGCUAAAUAUUGGCGAGAGACCGAUAGCGAACAAGUACCGUGAGGGAAAGAUGAAAAGAACUUUGAAAAGAGAGUUAAACAGUACGUGAAAUUGUCAAAAGGGAAGCGUUUGACACCAGUGUUGUUUUUCCGAAAAUCAAUUACGAAUGGCUUGAUUUUGUGUUGUAUUGACCUUAUCAGCUUUCUUCACUUUUUUCGAGUCUUUCUUAAUGCACUUUUCGGUUAACAAGUCAACAUCAAUUUCUUUUGUUGUAAAAGAGUAUUCGGAAGGUGGCUUUCUUUUCGGAGAAAGUGUUUAUAGCCCUAUACUUCUACAAUCGGAGAGAUUGAGGUCUGCAGCGUAGAUCCUUCGGGGUUAGAUACACUUGUGCUAAGUUGUAGCUUUUCAUAGACAACUUGUUGACUAUGUUUAGUCAUGCGGCUUACUCGCUUGUGCUAUUUUACCUACGCUUAGGAUGUUGAGUAGCGACAUACGCAC